rnacentral:rRNA from 1 species
UACGUAGGGGGCAAGCGUUGUCCGGAUUUAUUGGGCGUAAAGAGCGUGUAGGCGGCCAGGCAGGUCCGUUGUGAAAACUCGAGGCUCAACCUCGAGACGUCGAUGGAAACCGUCUGGCUAGAGUCCGGAAGAGGAGAGUGGAAUUCCUGGUGUAGCGGUGAAAUGCGCAGAUAUCAGGAAGAACACCGAUGGCGAAGGCAGCUCUCUGGGACGGUACUGACGGUGAGACGCGAAAGCGUGGGGAGCGAACAGG